UUGAUGUUUUACCUGUAGGUGCUGGCACAGCUUUGCUUGGGAAAAAAGCUGCCAUGGCCUGCACGGUGGCUGUGGAAGAAAGCGUUGCUGUGCAUUACAACAACCAGAUCAGGGUCCUCGUAGAAGAAGACCCCGAGAAAUACAAGGAGUUAUUACAGAUCAUCAAGAAAUUUCGCGAUGAAGAGAUGGAGCAUCACGACACUGGGCUUGAGUACGAUGCUGAAUUGGU